UUGGCUACGCGAGCGCAUGAGUUGUGUUGGACCUGUGACUAUCGGGAGGCCCCCCGCCAUGGUGCGGCCGACUCUCGACGCCUGUGUCCCUUCAAGCUUUGGCCAUUGUGCCUGACCCGUUAAACGAGUGCUUGCAUGCUGCUACCAGUCCACUGGAAGUUGCAUUCGCAAAAUGUUGCCUUCGUCGUGCCUGUCCUUGGGACAAGGCACGUCGACGAGAAAGCCUUCACGGUGUUGCCUCGUGUAGCCAGCCGCAUAGACUGGCAUCAUCAAGGCCACCUCGUGGAUGCUCUUGGUCCCGGAUGCUGCAAGCGAUAAAGGCCGAAGGCGCUUCGACGCCCCGCGCCUACAAAAGAUUGUCCAGUUGGAAACAAUGACAGCUGGCCCGGUUGAUGCCUUGUGCGGAUGUCGGUGUCGGCUCGUCAAUGAGGACGUGCUACCUGGUUGAUCCUGCCAGUAGUCAUAUGCUUGUCU
rnacentral:misc_RNA from 1 species